GAUGAACGCUGGCGGCGUGCCUAAUACAUGCAAGUCGAGCGAACAGACGAGGAGCUUGCUCCUCUGACGUUAGCGGCGGACGGGUGAGUAACACGUGGAUAACCUACCUAUAAGACUGGGAUAACUUCGGGAAACCGGAGCUAAUACCGGAUAAUAUAUUGAACCGCAUGGUUCAAUAUUGAAAGACGGUUUUGCUUUCACUUAUAGAUGGAUCCGCGCCGCAUUAGCUAGUUGGUAAGGUAACGGCUUACCAAGGCAACGAUGCGUAGCCGACCUGAUCGGGGGAGCGGACACACUGGAACUGAGACACGGUACAGACUCCGACGGGAGGCAGCAGUAGGGAAUCUUCCGCAAUGGGCGAAAGCUUGACGGAGCAACGCCGCGGGAGUGAUGAAGGUCUUCGGAUCGUAAAACUCUGUUAUUAGGGAAGAACAAAUGUGUAAGUAACUAUGCACGUCUUGACGGUACCUAAUCAGAAAGCCACGGCUAACUACGUG
rnacentral:rRNA from 1 species